GUGGGGAAUCUUGCACAAUGGGCGAAAGCCUGAUGCAGCAACGCCGCGUGUGUGAUGAAGGUUUUCGGAUCGUAAAGCACUUUCGACCGGGACGAAUAAGCUUCACCUAAUACGUGAGGCCCUGACGGUACCGGGAGAAGAAGCACCGGCUAACUCUGUGCCAGCAGCCGCGGUAAUACAGAGGGUGCAAGCGUUGUUCGGAAUUAUUGGGCGUAAAGCGCGUGUAGGCGGCUUGUUAAGUCGGGUGUGAAAGCCCUCAGCUCAACUGAGGAAGUGCGCCCGAAACUGGCGAGCUUGAGUGCCGGAGAGGAUGGCGGAAUACCCCAAGUAGAGGUGAAAUUCGUAGAUAUGGGGUGGAACACCGGUGGCGAAGGCGGCCAUCUGGACGGCAACUGACGCUGAGACGCGAAAGCGUGGGUAGCAAA
rnacentral:rRNA from 1 species